rnacentral:lncRNA from 1 species
AAGAUGCAGUUCCCUACUUGAAAAGGAAGGAGACUGGCAGUGCAUUUCAGGCCUUUUAAAGGUAAGCUGACUUUCUGCAUCCGUCUGGCCUUCCUGUCCAUUGGUACAAUCUCUGUCGCGUGCUACCCCUCGCAGCAUGCUGGGGAUACUGCUUGUUGGCUAGGAUACAGACUGCCGAGUCAUGCCAGACAGCAAUGCGCUCUUUUGCACGUUUUUAUUAAUAAUUGUUCUUCCAAAGUCAAGCAAAACCAACGGAAUUCCAAGUUAGUAAAGGAAGAAGAAGCACUACAAAUGAGACUACAUCAGGUACUCGCACAGUGCUCUGUAGGAAGAUCUGAAGCAAGUGAGGUAAGAUGAUGCCUCUUGAUUUGGUGCAGCAUCUUUGUCUCCCAGAGCACUCCUUCUUAUGGUAGAUUGAUUUAUGAUAGUGACAUUCCCCCACCCCCUAGGCUUUACGCACACUCAUUCUGGAAACAUUUCUUUUUUCUUGCCUGCAUUUUAGGGCUCUGUUUUAGAUAUUUUAUCUAUUUUAAGUUGUCAUAUUAGCACAUGUAGCAAUUAAUUACUGAGAUAUCGUCAUGGGAUUCCAUCUAGUAAAUGAGGAUAAUGCUCCCUCUGUUUAGAUCCAUACCCCUUUAAAACGUCAAAAUCCCCGGUUUGCAUUUGAUACCUCCUGUGACUGAAGAUCACAUGUCCG